GACGAACGCUGGCGGCGUGCCUAAUACAUGCAAGUUGAGCGCUGAAGGUUGGUACUUGUACCAACUGGAUGAGCAGCGAACGGGUGAGUAACGCGUGGGGAAUCUGCCUUUGAGCGGGGGACAACAUUUGGAAACGAAUGCUAAUACCGCAUAAAAACUUUAAACACAAGUUUUAAGUUUGAAAGAUGCAAUUGCAUCACUCAAAGAUGAUCCCGCGUUGUAUUAGCUAGUUGGUGAGGUAAAGGCUCACCAAGGCGAUGAUACAUAGCCGACCUGAGAGGGUGAUCGGCCACAUUGGGACUGAGACACGGCCCAAACUCCUACGGGAGGCAGCAGUAGGGAAUCUUCGGCAAUGGACGAAAGUCUGACCGAGCAACGCCGCGUGAGUGAAGAAGGUUUUCGGAUCGUAAAACUCUGUUGGUAGAGAAGAACGUUGGUGAGAGUGGAAAGCUCAUCAGGUGACGGUAACUACCCAGAAAGGGACGGCUAACUACGU
rnacentral:rRNA from 1 species